GGAUAAGCAAAUCAUUCCAAAUUUAGCACGUUGCAACAUCUCAUGUUUAAAUCAUAGAUGUUUUUAUGCGUUUUGUGCCUGUUGCCAACUGUGUCCUCAGCUUUACUUCAGAUAAUGUUCUAAAAUCUCACCGUGGAAUGGGUGCUCAUGUAUGAAGAAUUAGCUGAAUCACCAGUUGAGAAGGCCAGAAGGUGAUAGAUAAUUGAGGAAAACUAUUGAAAGAUUGAAAAGCAGCUGAAAGACAAAAGGUUAAUAACCAGCAGUGACCAAGGAAAAUGCUGAGAUUAAACUCUAACAUCAGAUUCCAGGGCCCACUGGAAGUUGGGCAUAAGAGAUGAGGCUGAAAGAACAGAAGGGAUGAUGAAUCAGAAGCACAAAAAGGCAAAGUACUUUGCUGAAGGCCACUCAGCAGGUGAGCGGUGGAGCCAGGCUUCAUACCCCAGAAGUCUGGCUUCAGGAUCUGCAAUAAAUGGUUCUCAGGUUACCUAAUCUUAGCUGAGAGGGCAAGAAAUGCCCGUCACCAAAGAAAUGACCAGCCAAGUAAUUUUGUCUUUGUCUUAGUCCAUUUUCUGUUGCUUUAGCAAAAUACUUUAGACUGGGUAAUUUAUAAAAAAACAAAACCUUAUUUGGCUAAUGAUUCUGGACACUGGGAAUUCUAAGAGUGUGGUGCUGACAUCUGCUUAGCAUCAGGUGAGGGUAGGUGGCAGCAUAUGGUGGGGCAGACCAAGCAUGCCAGCUCAGGUCUCUGUUCUUAUUACAAAGCUGGUAGUGCCAUUGUGGGGCCCCUCCCUUAUCUCAUACAAUCCUCGUUACCUCCCAAAGACCAUGCCUCCAAAACCAUUCACCUAUGAAUUUGAGAAAUUUCCAACACAUGCAAACUUUUGGGGACAUAUUAAAAUCACAGCAGUUUUAGAUUUUGACUUGAUACAAUCCAUGGUAGAUGUCUUGGAGGCCUGGAGGUUAGAGGGAAUGUUGAGGAUGGCUAUUUGUGGAGGUGGUAGGACUUUGAGGAUUCAAAGAUCAAACUCAAACUGUAAUAAGCAAAGAAGAGGAUUCUGAUAAACAGGAGUUCAUCUGCCGGCAUGGCUGUGUCCCAGGACUUGAUCUAACUAAGAACAUC